rnacentral:rRNA from 1 species
ACGCUCGACACCUACGUGAGGCAGCAGUCGGGAAUAUUGCGCAAUGGAGGAAACUCUGACGCAGUGACGCCGCGUAUAGGAAGAAGGUCUUCGGAUUGUAAACUAUUGUCGUUAGGGAAGAAAAAGGACAGUACCUAAGGAGGAAGCUCCGGCUAACUACGUGCCAGCAGCCGACGGUAAUCUGAGGCGGGCGUGGCGAAGGC